UGGCUUAGACGGUAAAGAAUCUGCCUGCAAUGCAGGAGACCGGGGUUCGAUCCCUG
rnacentral:tRNA from 1 species